rnacentral:rRNA from 1 species
GAUGAACGCUGGCGGCGUGCUUAACACAUGCAAGUCGAACGAUGAAAGCGGGAGCUUGCUCCUGCUGGAUUAGUGGCGAACGGGUGAGUAACACGUGAGCAAUCUGCCCCGAACUCUGGGAUAAGCGUUGGAAACGACGUCUAAUACCGGAUACGACGCGCGAAGGCAUCUUCUGCGCGUGGAAAGAACUUCGGUUCGGGAUGAGCUCGCGGCCUAUCAGCUAGUUGGUGAGGUAACGGCCCACCAAGGCGACGACGGGUAGCCGGCCUGAGAGGGUGACCGGCCACACUGGGACUGAGACACGGCCCAGACUCCUACGGGAGGCAGCAGUGGGGAAUAUUGCACAAUGGGCGAAAGCCUGAUGCAGCAACGCCGCGUGAGGGACGACGGCCUUCGGGUUGUAAACCUCUUUUAGUAGGGAAGAAGCGAAAGUGACGGUACCUGCAGAAAAAGCACCGGCUAACUACGUGCCAGCCGCCGCGGUAACAC